AAUGAAUGAAGAUUUUAGAAGAUGGAAAGAUAAGCGAAAAUAAGAAAAGAGAAGUCAUUUUUUUUUCCUGGCCACGAGAAAUUUGGUAGCAGUCAUGUGUGGCCAGGGGAGAGUUGUCCAGGGUAGGCUUGGGUCGUCAUCAGGUUUGGCCAGGAUAGGUUUGGCCAGGGUAGGUUUGGUCGUCGUCGUCAGGAUUGUCCAGGGUAAGUUUGGUUUGUCAUCAAGUUUGUCCACGGUAGGUUUGGUCAGCAGGUGUGGCCAGGCGAGAUUUGGCUUCCGUUUAGUCAAUAUCAGGUUUGGCCAGGGGAGAUUUGGCCUUUUUGUCAUCAUCAGGUUUGGCCAGGGGAGAUCUGGCCUCCGUUUAGUCAAUAUCAUGUUUGGCCAGGGGAGAUCUGGCCUCCGUUUAGUCAAUAUCAUGUUUGGCCAGGGGAGAUCUGGCCUCCGUUUAGUCAUCAUCAUGUUUGGCCAGGGGAGAUCUGGCCUCCGUUUAGUCAAUAUCAUGUUUGGCCAGGGGAGAUCUGGCCUCCGUUAAGUCAUCAUCAGGUUUGGCCAGGGGAGAUCUGGCCUCCGUUUAGUCAAUAUCAAGUUUGGCCAGGGGAGAUCUGGCCUCCGUUUAGUCAAUAUCAUGUUUGGCCAGGGGAGAUCUGGCCUUUUUGUCAUCAUCAGGUUUGGCCAGGGGAGAUCUGGCCUCCGUUUAGUCAAUAUCAUGUUUGGCCAGGGGAGAUCUGGCCUCCGUUUAGUCAAUAUCAGGUUUAGGCCAGGGGAGAUCUGGCCUCCGUUAAGUCAUCAUCAGGUUUGGCCAGGGGAGAUCUGGCCUUCAUUUAGUCAAUAUCAUGUUUGGCCAGGGGAGAUCUGGCCUUUUUGUCAUCAUCAGGUUUGGCCAGGGGAGAUCUGGCCUUUUUGUCAUCAUCAGGUUUGGCCAGGGGAGAUCUGGCCUUCAUUUAGUCAAUAUCAUGUUUGGCCAGGGGAGAUCUGGCCUUUUUGUCAUCAUCAGGUUUGGCCAGGGGAGAUCUGGCCUUUUUGUCAUCAUCAGGUUUGGCCAGGGGAGAUCUGGCCUUCAUUUAGUCAAUAUCAUGUUUGGCCAGGGGAGAUCUGGCCUUUUUGUCAUCAUCAGGUUUGGCCAGGGGAGAUCUGGCCUCCGUUUAGUCAAUAUCAGGUUUGGCCAGGGGAGAUCUGGCCUCCAUUAAGUCAUCAUCAUGUUUGGCCAGGGGAGAUCUGGCCUUCAUUUAGUCAAUAUCAUGUUUGGCCAGGGGAGAUCUGGCCUCCGUUUAGUCAAUAUCAUGUUUGGCCAGGGGAGAUCUGGCCUCCGUUUAGUCAAUAUCAGGUUUAGGCCAGGGGAUAUCUGGCCUCUUUGUCAUCAUCAGGUUUGGCCAGGGGAGAUCUGGCCUCCGUUUAGUCAAUAUCAUGUUUGGCCAGGGGAGAUCUGGCCUCCGUUAAGUCAUCAUCAGGUUUGGCCAGGGGAGAUCUGGCCUCGUUUAGUCAAUAUCAGGUUUGGCCAGGGGAGAUUUGGCCUUUUUGUCAUCAUCAGGUUUGGCCAGGGGAGAUCUGGCCUCCGUUUAGUCAAUAUCAGGUUUGGCCAGGGGAGAUCUAGCCUUCAUUUAGUCAAUAUCAGGUUUGGCCAGGGGAGAUCUGGCCUCCGUUAAGUCAAUAUCAUGUUUGGCCAGGGGAGAUCUGGCCUCCGUUUAGUCAAUAUCAGGUUUGGCCAGGGGAGAUCUGGCCUCCGUUAAGUCAAUAUCAUGUUUGGCCAGGGGAGAUCUGGCCUUUUUGUCAUCAUCAUGUUUGGCCAGGGGAGAUCUGGCCUUCAUUUAGUCAAUAUCAUGUUUGGCCAGGGGAGAUCUGGCCUCCGUUUAGUCAAUAUCAUGUUUGGCCAGGGGAGAUCUGGCCUCCGUUUAGUCAAUAUCAGGUUUGGCCAGGGGAGAUUUGGCCUCUUUGUCAUCAUCAGGUUUGGCCAGGGGAGAUCUGGCCUCCAUUAAGUCAUCAUCAGGUUUGGCCAGGGGAGAUCUGGCCUUCAUUUAGUCAAUAUCAGGUUUGGCCAGGGGAGAUCUGGCCUCCGUUUAGUCAAUAUCAUGUUUGGCCAGGGGAGAUCUGGCCUUUUUGUCAUCAUCAGGUUUGGCCAGGGGAGAUUUGGCCUCUUUGUCAUCAUCAGGUUUGGCCAGGGGAGA